AGUGAACGCUGGCGGUAGGCCUAACACAUGCAAGUCGAACGGCAGCACAGUAAGAGCUUGCUCUUACGGGUGGCGAGUGGCGGACGGGUGAGGAAUACAUCGGAAUCUACUUUUUCGUGGGGGAUAACGUAGGGAAACUUACGCUAAUACCGCAUACGACCUACGGGUGAAAGCAGGGGAUCUUCGGACCUUGCGCGAUUGAAUGAGCCGAUGUCGGAUUAGCUAGUUGGCGGGGUAACGGCUCACCAAGGCGACGAUCCGUAGCUGGUCUGAGAGGAUGAUCAGCCACACUGGAACUGAGACACGGUCCCGACUCCUGCGGGAGGCAGCAGUGGGGAAUAUUGGGCAAUGGGCGCAAGCCUGAUCCAGCCAUACCGCGUGAGUGAUGAAGGCCUUCGGGUUGUAAAGCCCUUUUGUUGGGAAAGAAAAGCAGCAGGUUAAUACCCCGCUGUUCUGACGGUACCCAAAGAAUAAGCACCGGCUAACUUCGUG
rnacentral:rRNA from 1 species